GGAGGAAUGGCAGAGUGGUUGAUUGCGGCAGUCUUGAAAACUGUUAGGGGCGCAAGCCCCUCGAGGGUUCGAAUCCUUCUUCCUCCGCCA
rnacentral:tRNA from 1 species